UUCAUUUCCACUCCGUGCCAUAUGCUCACUGAGAGACUUCACUUUUGGAUCAGCAAGAUGGAAAGGAGCUGCCAGUGAAGCUGUACCUUCUGAUGAAGUGCUCUCGGCCAGGGCAGGAGCUCUGACUUUCUUCUCCCUUGGAAGAUGCUGCUGCCUGCUCUCAGGAUGCUCUUCUGGUACAGUGCUCCAAGCACACCUCACCUUCAUCAGCCUGGCCACCCACCUGAGGACCAGUUGAUAGAAAGCAGUGGAGACCAUACACAGUUGGCAGGGUCAGCUUUUAUUGCUCCUUGCAAAACAAAUAACAUCGUGGUCACAAGUAUCCCAGAUCAUGUGUUCCAGGGCUUCCCCCCUCCCUUUUUUAUGUUAAUUGCUGGAGGCUGAGGGCAGCCCAUGGAAUGAAUAUUUCACUCUGAACUUCCAUUCAGCUGUUAUUCAGGAUGUUUGCCAGAAAUGUAAUUCUUUCUUCUGUCUCCAGGAUAAUAGCUGGGCAGGAUGGUGGAUACCUCAUUGAAGACGAGACAUUACAACAUUUUUAUUCCUGCCAUAGGAUGGCAUGUGGCUGUACUGCCUGUGGAAUGUGCUUUGGAAGAAUGAGGAUCCAGUCAAGUACAGACUAAUCCUGGACCCAAACAUGAUGGCUGAAGAGUUGCUGGACCAGAUCCUACAGGCCUCAUACAAAACAAAACAAACAAGACAAACCAAACAAUACUGCUGACACAGGUUGCAUUUUUCCCUGAGGGUGACCUACCAGGUUUGACACUUGGUGAAUGAAAAGUGAAAUUGUUGGAGUGACUUUCCUAUUUUCUUCAAAUAAACACACCAACACUCCCAUCAAAAGCAACGUGCCAAACAGAACCAGUUUGGCUCCUCUCUUAGGUAGGACCCACCAGAGAGAAUUCUGUCAAAUCUUGCCAAGAUGCUAGUGGCUGUAAUAAGCUGGACAUAAACAGGGCCAAAGGGACAGCCCACAGGCCUUCCCUUGCCCCUUACCAGUGGAAAAGGAAUGGGUGAGAUUUCCCUGCUGUUGUUCAGCUGUUGGUUAACAGAAGAAGCUGUUUUCUAUUUGGGCUCGCACUGGUUGAGCAGCCCUGUCUGCAGCUGUAUUGUGUUACAUGCUGUUAUGCAACUCCAUCCUCUCUUGCAAACAAUGACAGGAGCAACCUAAAUCUUGAAACAUAAAGACUAUAAUUAAAGAGGGGAAAGUGCUUAUUUGGCAUUUGGAUACCCAUGGCCAAUUCAGAUGAGCUGAACUAGCAAAUCGCUUGGCACAGACUUAAUGAGGAUAACAUUUGCACUGGACUAAAUAGCGGUUGUUUUACCCCACUGUUGGCCAAGCCAGAGUAGCGUAACCCGACUAAUGCUGCCAUAACUUGGGCAGUUCUCUUUCUCCUUGACAGUGAGAUUUAUGCCACAAACAGGAGGAGCCUUGAAGUCAAAGGCUCUGCCUCAGGUUUCAAAACCGUUAGCACUGCAGGGUAGCUCUGGUCCAGGAUGAUGCUUCAGGUCUGUUUCUCGCAAUCGGAAGUUCACAAGUCUACAAAUUUAACAGCAUCUGCUGAGACUAAAGGCUACGUUUACCUGCUGGGCUUACCCUCUUCACACUGGUCGGGGUGUUUAUGAAUCUGUUCAGCCUGCUGCUGCAGCUGGCUGUGGAAAGUGGAAGCCCCAACUAGGAACUCUGAAUUUAAAGAAGGUGUGUGUCUGUGCGAAGCCUCUGAAAGCUUUGGAAACUGUUUCUGAACCCUCUACUCGAUCCCUCCCACCUCUUAAAGAAAAAAGAACCACAGUUUUUAAGAUCUGAUAUUUCUUUCGGAUUUUUCUUGCUGGAGGUCUUCCUUGGGGAACCCAGAUUAGUAGCUUAUGCAGGCAUUAAUGGAACAGCAGCUGUUUAAUGUUAAACAAAGAGAGAUUUCCAUCCAACUGAUUGCUAGAUAUUUGAGUUAAAUAAGAAUUAAUUAAGAAUAAAAGCCUUGCUUCCCAUUUGGCUUGCAACUUCUACUCCGGUGAACAUCUACAUGGGACUCAGUUGAGUUUUCUGACUUGUGUCACAGUCAUCAGGACUCCAGAAGUUCUCAGUAAGCUGAAAAAAAAGGUGAAUGUUUUUGUGUUGCUGCCUUGAGGACUAUGAAACGAUACACCUGCUGGAUCUUCAGUUGACCCUAGGGAUAUCAAGCAGGCGGAGGAAAAGAGCCUAAAUUUAAAAUGUAAAAUAUGGGGAAGAUGAAUCAGCAGAUUUUUUAUCCCAAUGGAUCCACCCACCUGUUUUAAUUAUGCAUCUUUCCCUUUUUCUUGUCGUAAUCACUCUCUGCACGUAGUUAGAAUUAUUUUACAGAUCACUGAAUGCCAGAAAUGAUGCAAGUUACACUGUCCCAGUAUCAGCGACACCCACAUCUUGCUAAUUAAUGUUGGAUAUGAAGAUAAUUACCCAUGGCUGCAGGCAAGUAGGUCAACAGUUUAGCUUAUGGGGAGUUCUGCAAAAUACUGAUGACAGAACACUGCAGGAUCUGUACCGUUGGUUGCACAAUGAACACUUUCUUGUCCCACUGCUGUCUAAACUGUGCAUUAUCCCUUCCCACAGCCAUCCCAUUACAGCCAAAAGCUUAUCUAUCUGAAGAGUCAGGCAGCUCUUCAAAUGGGAAGACGUUGCAUGAUGUUGAAUAACAGUUCUGUUUCUCCACAUGCAUACAUCUUUCACAGUUAAUCUCUCAUUCCUUUGCCUCAGAGAAGAAAAGUUCAAGCAUCUUAGCCUUGAAAACAGCUCUGCAUUGCCCAGGGAGUUAGGUAAGUUUGAGACACAACAGGUUAUUCCACGGAGGCAUCAUUAAAGCCGGGGGCUGUGUUUACCAGCAGGGUGCAAUAUCACAUUUUACUGACGCCGUAUCGGUCAGACACAAGACACUGCCCCCGCAGUAAGCCCGUUUUUCAGCCCAGGUGUACCUAUACCCCAGCUUUCUCUCACAGCCCUACAGCCAGAAACAUUUCUUAACCUCUCCCAGCUUUCAGACCACUCAUUUUUGUGUACAUCUUGGAAUGAGAACUUCAGUGGCUCUAGGCCAACCUAACUCUACUUCUACAUAGCUUUGCUUUCCUUUGCUGUAGGCUUUGGAUGGGAACCAAAAUGAUUGUGCAUGCUAAUGAGCCCUUAAUUGCACCUGCCUCCUCCCCUUUGCUUAGCUGAGCUCACAGCAUGUGGUUCAUCGUGUGCCUGAAUGUAUAGCAGGUGACCAGUCUUACAUGCUGACAGAGAUGAGCUUAUUUUCAGCUGGGAUAAUUUCCAAGCUAUAAGGCCCAAAUGAGCCCAAGCAGGAGGUUUGCCUGUGGAGGCGGGAGGGGGGAUUUGCAAAAUGGACCUAAUGGGUUUAAUUCAGCACUCCUUUGCCUUUAGGGCUGUCUCAAGUUGCUCACCUGCUUUUAGUCAAGUGAUGAAGCAGCAGCUGGUGCAACCCACCAUUUUCAUUGCCUUUAUAUUUGAUCCUCCAGCAAUCAGGAGAGUUUGAACUUUGGUUUAUUAGAAGCUCUUUCUUUCUCUUUAGAAAUAAUGGUAGAUGAGGUGGCUGGAAACAUCGUUCCUAGUGCAGGCUCCUUCCGUCUUCCUUAUGGAGAGACAAACUGACCUGCUAUUCUCUCCUAUCUACAGGAGCUUCUCUGAUGCUGAAGGUACUGUAGCCAGGCAAUUUUUAAAGAUGUCUGUUGUUUAUUUUAAAUUCUCUAAAUUAUUUUAACUUUUCUAAAUAUGGCCAUAAGUUCAUAGACAAUUGUCCUUUUUAUUGUUUUUUCUUUUUAUUUUUUUAAAAAAAUGCUACUCUGGGAAUACUUAGACCUAGGCUGCUGCUCAGUAUCAGAACUUGGCUCUCUGUGAUACUGCAGGGAGUGCAAGGAGCAACAGCUGUUUACAGAGCACAGAAAAAAGGCUCCUUGGCAGCCGCUGGUGUCACCCCUGCAAAGAUCCUGGGAAAACUGUUUCUAUGGAUCACAGUGCCUUGUCAGAUGGAGAAACAGUUGGAUAUUUGGUAUUUCUUCAGAAGUCAUGUAUUUACAAAGUGAGAUGCUGACAUCAAACACUUGGUAACUUAAGAAGGUGCAAUUGUAUGUAAUGCUGGUGUAUUUUUCUUUUUCCUCCACAUCUUUCCUUGCUCUAGAUUACUAGUCUGUCUUCUGCUUUAACUCUGUACUUCCAAAAGCUACUUGAAACAGGUCGUUCUCUUUUUCAGCUUUCAGGGACUCCAGUCAGGUUCGAAGAGUUAAUAUUUUCUACAUAUGUUAAAUACAAAGGCUCUCUUCUGGCUCAAGUGCUGCUUUGCUGAAGUCUGUCCUUUCUUUUCUCUCUGUUUUUUUGGAAUAAAAUUUAUGGUUGCUUCUCCA